UCACGAAGUGAACGGACUGAGAAGAGCAAGGGGAACAGGAAGCAGGCCUCUGAGCCCAAGCUAAGCCAUCAUAUCUCCUGUGACCUGCACGUAUACAUCCAGAUGGCCUGAAGUAACUGAGGAAUCACAAAAGAAGUGAAAAUGCCCUGUUCCUGCCUUAACUGAUGACAUUACCUUGUGAAAUUCCUUCUCCUGGCUCAUCCUGGCUCAAAAGCUCCCCCACUGAGCACCUUGUGACUCCCACCCCUGCCAGCCAGAGAACAACCCCCUUUGACUGUAAUUUUCCAUUACCCAAAUCCUAUAAAACAGCUCCACCCCAUCUCCCUUCAUUGACUCUCUUUUUGAACUCAGCCUGCCUGUACCCAGGUGAUAAAAAGCUUUAUUGCUCACACAAAGACUGUUUGGUGGUCUCUUCACAAGGACGCAAGUGAAAUUAUUAUUUAAGCCUUCCAACAUAUCUAAUAUCUGAACCUCAACUCUUCAUCUUACUAGCUAAAUGACAUCAGGGGAACAACUUAUUAACCUCUCUAAGUCUGUUUAUUCACCUGUGGGUAAUACCAUUAACAUCUCCUUAAUAGAUUUGUGGUAAUAAUUGAAUGAGGUCUUCAGUGUAGAGAGCUAAACACUAUGCCCAUUUAAAAAGUGAUUGCUGCUGCUCUAUCUUCCCAGCCCAGGGGGUUCUUGGACAUUCUCCCCGUGAUGAGUGCCCCUCUUCUGAAGUGGGGGUAGAAUGUAGUGGUUUCUUAAAGAGGAUCACUCAUGUUAGGAUCACUGAGCUUGGGUUUUAAUAUCUGUAUGUAUGGGACUGGGUUUUAGAAAAUGAAUUUUCUCAUGACCAAAAUAUUAGUCCUCCUUUUUUCCCUUAGAUGUAAGGGGAAAUUUUACAAGUAAGCUCAGUUAAUUUUGGGAGGGCCAUCUGUGAAAUCUCAGGCAUUUAUGGCAUAAACUCAAAUGUUCUCUUCUUUCGAUUUCCUGGAAUGGUGAACAUGGAGUGUCUUAACUUGUGUAUUGAGCAUGGUUUAGGAGUCUGUUGUCAAUUUUACAGUCUUUUGACCUCUAUAUAUUUGGCAUGCUGAGCUUCUUGCCAUUGAUCUAAAGUACCAGGCCCAUUCAUACACAUUGUAUACUUUCCACACCUUGCUGAGAAUUCUCUUCCCUUUCCUUUUCAUCUGAAAAAUUCCCACUCAGUUUUCAAGUACCAAUUCACAUGUCUCCAGCAGUGUGAAGCUUUACACUUCCUUUUGGCCGGAUAAGUUGCUCAUUCUGUCCUCCUUGCUCACAUGGCACUUUGUCAGCUUCUCUAAAUUGUACUAGCCAAACACUGUCAUAAUCCAUUUACACAUAAGUCUCUCCCAAAAGGUCAAUUUCUGAGGGCCAGGGACCAUUUCCAGCUGUAUUUCUCCUCCUUCCCUGGCUCAUUCCCUAUUUCUCCUCACUUCCGCUUCUCCAAGAUUGUAUCCCAAUAAAAUGUUAGCUCAUAAA
rnacentral:lncRNA from 10 species